rnacentral:rRNA from 1 species
GACGAACGCUGGCGGCGUGCUUAACACAUGCAAGUCGAACGAAAAGAGGGAAAGAGCUUGCUCUUUCCGGAAUUGAGUGGCAAACGGGUGAGUAACACGUAAACAACCUGCCUUCAGGAUGGGGACAACAGACGGAAACGACUGCUAAUACCGAAUAAGUUCCAAGGGCCGCAUGGCCCAUGGAAGAAAAGGUGGCCUCUACCUGUAAGCUAUCGCCUGAAGAGGGGUUUGCGUCUGAUUAGCUGGUUGGAGGGGUAACGGCCCACCAAGGCGACGAUCAGUAGCCGGUCUGAGAGGAUGAGCGGCCACACUGGAACUGAGACACGGUCCAGACUCCUACGGGAGGCAGCAGUGGGGAAUCUUCCGCAAUGGGCGAAAGCCUGACGGAGCAACGCCGCGUGAGUGAUGACGGCCUUCGGGUUGUAAAACUCUGUGAUCCGGGACGAAAAGGCAGAGUGCGAAGAACAAACUGCAUUGACGGUACCGGAAAAGCAAGCCACGGCUAACUACGUG